CUGAGGGUACGAGACGCUGUCUUAAAGCAAAGGGUCCACGCCUGAGACCUGAGACCAAGACCCACCUUUGGACAUGUUCCUCUCAGCUCCCCUCAGCUGGUGGCACCCAUAUAGGCGUGGUCUGGCCACAGGGCCCGGCCCUGUCGGAGGGGAGGUCAGGAGUAGGCGCACGGUGCGGGAAGUGGGGUUCAGCCAGUCUGUCCAGCUUUUUCUGGAACCCCAAACUCUGAGGGCGACAAGGAAACUUGUCACCCUCCAGACUGGAGAAAAGUCCCAGCAGACUCUGUCCGCCUUCAUCUGGAAGAAAGAAGCCUACACUUCUCCCGGGCGGGGCAGCACCCCGGCUCCCCAUGCAGCCGGCCGUCCCUCCAGACCCACCCGUGGGCUUUCUGCAGCUCAGGAAUCACUGGACCAGAAACCAGAAGACUCAGCAGCCAUCCAACCCAGAAACUAUGAAGUCCCAGGUCUGCUGAUCCAACUCUACUAGACCGUAAACAUGGAAGUCGCUCAAGGAUCUUUUCUCGGACCUCCCUGCUUUCUCUCUGCACCCUCGCUCUGGGGCAUGACAUGCACCCCUUUGGCCUCGAUGAUCACUGAAGGGCUGAUGACUGUCCCAUCUGGGCCUCCAGCUUACACCUGAGCUCCAGAUUGAGAAAUCCCUACUUGGAUGGCCCCCAUACUUCUCAAACUCCACAGAUCCAAGGCUCAACUUUUCAUCUGCAUCUUGUCCUUGCAAAUGGCAGCCCCAUCCACCUGGGGUAAUACUUACCUGACUCUCUUUCCC